rnacentral:other from 1 species
UGCUUCCUGGGGUGUUUGCCAGCAUGUGAAUGUCCCUGAGCCGAUGCUUUUAAAUUAGGGUCCUACUUACGUUCCAGUGCGCAUGCCCGGGUUUCGCCGGGAAGCCUGAGGGAUGUAAAUUAGCACCCGCCUUGAACCAAUGGGUUCAAGGGCUAACACACGGCAGCGGCACCUUGGGAAGUCU